rnacentral:rRNA from 1 species
GGCGGCGUGCUUAACACAUGCAAGUCGAACGGUUGCCUCGGGGCUUGCCUCGGGGUGGUAGUGGCGAACGGGUGAGUAACACGUGAGUAACCUGCCCCCUUCUUUGGGAUAACGUCGGGAAAUCGGCGCUAAUACUGGAUAUUCUGGCUUCUCCGCAUGGGGUUGUUGGGAAAGGUUUUUCUGGUGGGGGAUGGGCUCGCGGCCUAUCAGCUUGUUGGUGGGGUGAUGGCCUACCAAGGCGGUGACGGGUAGCCGGCCUGAGAGGGUGUCCGGCCACACUGGGACUGAGACACGGCCCAGACUCCUACGGGAGGCAGCAGUGGGGAAUAUUGCACAAUGGACGGAAGUCUGAUGCAGCGACGCCGCGUGAGGGAUGACGGCCUUCGGGUUGUAAACCUCUUUCAGUACAGAACAAGGCACUUUCUUUUGGGGUGUUGAGGGUAUGUGCAGAAGAAGCGCCGGCUAACUACGUGCCAGCAGCCGCGGUAAUACGUAGGGCGCGAGCGUUGUCCGGAAUUAUUGGGCGUAAAGAGCUCGUAGGCGGUUUGUCGCGUCUGUCGUGAAAUCCCAUGGCUUAGCUGUGGGCGUGCGGUGGGUACGGGCAGACUGGAGUGCGGUAGGGGAGACUGGAAUUCCUGGUGUAGCGGUAAAAUGCGCAGAUAUCAGGAGGAACACCGGUGGCGAAGGCGGGUCUCUGGGCCGUUACUGACGCUGAGGAGCGAAAGCAUGGGGAGCGAACAGGAUUAGAUACCCUGGUAGUCCAUGCCGUAAACGUUGGGAACUAGGUGUGGGGUCCAUUCCACGGGUCCUGUGCCGGAGCUAACGCAUUAAGUUCCCCGCCUGGGGAGUACGGCCGCAAGGCUAAAACUCAAAGGAAUUGACGG